rnacentral:rRNA from 1 species
GACGAACGCUGGCGGCGUGCUUAACACAUGCAAGUCGAGCGGUAAGGCCCUUCGGGGUACGACGAGCGGCGAACGGGUGAGUAACACGUGGGUGACCUGCCCUCCACUUCGGGAUAAGCCCGGGAAACUGGGUCUAAUACCGGUUAGGACCUCCUCAUGCAUGUGGGGUGGUGGAAAGCUUGUGUCUUUGAUGCUUGCGGUGGGGGAUGGGCCCGCGGUCUAUCAGCUUGUUGGUGGGGUGANGGCC